GACGUAGGGGGCAAGCGUUGUUCGGAAUUAUUGGGCGUAAAGCGCUCGUAGGCGGGAUUGGAAGUCCGUGUUGAAAGACCUCGGCUCAACUGAGGGACCGGCUCGGAUACUCUAAUUCUUGAGGCAAUCAGAGGAUGAUGGAAUUCCCGGUGUAGCAGUGAAAUGCGUAGAUAUCAAGUGGAACACCAGUGGCGAAGGCGAGUCUCUGGACAUUCCUGACGCUGAGGCACGAAGCCAGGGAGCAAACGGG
rnacentral:rRNA from 1 species